UACGGAGGUGCAAGCGUUAUCCGGAUUCACUGGGUUUAAAGGGUGCGUAGGUGGCUUUGUAAGUCAGUGGUGAAAUGCCGCAGCUCAACUGCGGAACUGCCAUUGAUACUGCUUAGCUUGAAUCACGUCGAGGUGGAUGGAAUAUUACAUGUAGCGGUGAAAUGCUUAGAUAUGUAAUAGAACACCGAUUGCGAAGGCAGUUCACUAGGCGUGUAUUGACACUGAGGCACGGAAAGCGUGGGGAUCAAACAGG
rnacentral:rRNA from 1 species